UACGUAGGGGGCAAGCGUUGUCCGGAGUUACUGGGCGUAAAGGGCGCGCAGGCGGUCCCUUCAGUUCGCACUGACAGCGGCAGGCUCAACCGGCCGAGGCGUGCGAAGACGGGGGGACUUGAGGGCUUCAGAGGGACAUGGAAUUCCAGGUGGAGUGGUGAAAUGCGUAGAGAUCUGGAGGAACACCAAAGGCGAAGGCAGUGUCCUGGGAAGCAUCUGACGCUCAGGCGCGAAAGCCAGGGGAG
rnacentral:rRNA from 1 species